AUGAAAUUCUGGGUUUCAGAUAAGUCACA
rnacentral:piRNA from 1 species